rnacentral:rRNA from 1 species
GAUCCUGGCUCAGGAUGAACGCUAGCUACAGGCUUAACNCAUGCAAGUCGAGGGGAAACGACAUCGAAAGCUUGCUUUUGAUGGGCGUCACCGGCGCACGGGUGAGUAACGCGUAUCCAACCUGCCCACCACUUGGGGAUAACCUUGCGAAAGUAAGACUAAUACCCAAUGAUAUCUCUAGAAGACAUCUGAAAGAAUAAUAAU